AUGCUUAGAAUGAAAAGAUCAUUGUUUGCCAGGCUUGUCGAGACCUUCAGGAGCAGGGGGCUGUUACGAGAUAGCAUCAACACCAGUGUCGGAGAGCAAGUGGCCAUGUUCCUCCAUGUUGUUGGCCAUAACCAGAGGUUCAGGGUCAUUCACAACACGUUCAGGAGAUCAAUGGAGACCAUCUCUAGGUACUUUAAGCAAGUGCUUUUUGCUAUUAGGGAGCUUAGAGGAGAGAUGAUCAGGAGACCAUCUAGUCAGACUCCACCCAAGAUUCGCUGA
rnacentral:rRNA from 1 species